rnacentral:rRNA from 1 species
AGGGUUCGAUUCUGGCUCAGGAUGAACGCUAGCGACAGGCUUAACACAUGCAAGUCGAGGGGCAGCAUAGAAGUAGCAAUACUUGGUGGCGACCGGCGCACGGGUGAGUAACGCGUAUGCAACCUACCUAUCAGGAGGGGAAUAACCCGGCGAAAGUCGGACUAAUACCGCAUAAAACAGGGGCACCGCAUGGUGAUAUUUGUUAAAGAAAUUCGCUGAUAGAUGGGCAUGCGUUCCAUUAGGUAGUUGGUGAGGUAACGGCUCACCAAGCCGACGAUGGAUAGGGGAACUGAGAGGUUGGUCCCCCACACUGGUACUGAGACACGGACCAGACUCCUACGGGAGGCAGCAGUGAGGAAUAUUGGUCAAUGGGCGGGAGCCUGAACCAGCCAAGUCGCGUGAAAGGAAGAAGGAUCUAUGGUUCGUAAACUUCUUUUGCAGGGGAAUAAAGUGCAGGACGUGUCCUGUUUUGUAUGUACCCUGAGAAUAAGGAUCGGCUAACUCCGUGCCAGCAGCAGC